AGGCUGAAAUGCAUGGUGGGAAAUCAGUGUGAAAUUCAUUGGCUGUUCCUGCAACCGUAAAGUCGGAGCGCCACCCAGCUU
ncrna:unclassified sequences AdoCbl variant RNA